rnacentral:tRNA from 15 species
GCCUCGGUGACGUAAUGGAAGCCGUGCUGCACUCAGACUGCAGUGUCCGAAAGGGCGUGAGGGUUCGACUCCCUCCCGAGGUACCA